UGGGGAAUUUUGGACAAUGGGCGAAAGCCUGAUCCAGCAAUGCCGCGUGUGUGAAGAAGGCCUUCGGGUUGUAAAGCACUUUUGUCCGGAAAGAAAUCCUUGGCUCUAAUACAGUCGGGGGAUGACGGUACCGGAAGAAUAAGCACCGGCUAACUACGUGCCAGCAGCCGCGGUAAUACGUAGGGUGCAAGCGUUAAUCGGAAUUACUGGGCGUAAAGCGUGCGCAGGCGGUUUGCUAAGACCGAUGUGAAAUCCCCGGGCUCAACCUGGGAACUGCAUUGGUGACUGGCAGGCUAGAGUAUGGCAGAGGGGGGUAGAAUUCCACGUGUAGCAGUGAAAUGCGUAGAGAUGUGGAGGAAUACCGAUGGCGAAGGCAGCCCCCUGGGCCAAUACUGACGCUCAUGCACGAAAGCGUGGGGGAGCAAAACAGGAUUAGAUACCCUGGUAGUCCACGCCCUAAAACGAUGUCAACU
rnacentral:rRNA from 1 species